CUUCUGCAGAGCUCGUGGCCAAUGCAAAGCGUUUGCACCAGGCCAGGGAGCAGCCGGGCACCUCCAGCAGCCAGAGUGAGCUGCAGUGAGCGACCUGCUAGGGAAAUACAGCAACCUGCUAGGGAAACCGAGCACCCGCUCCUUUGAAGUUAAUGAAUCGUGAAAGCCUUUGAAAGCAGAGCUUUGUUUAUUUACUCCCGGCAUCUCAUGCCGACGAGGCACACACACAUCCCAAGCGCACCGCUAAUUUGAGUGAAAGAUCAAAUGUGAGGCUCCUGCAGCCGCUGGGACAGCGAGGGCAGCCCCGGCCCCUCCAUGGGGCACUGCCCAACACGGGCAAAUGGGAGAGAGCCCAACGCAGAGCCGGAGCAGCUGAAGCGACACCUGGGGCUGCCAACCGGAUCGUGCCAAGGAAAGCAUCAGCAGAAGGAAUCAGGCUGACGGAGAUGUUUUGCACGUCAGACGUAAAGCACUGUGAAUCAGGACCCAAAGGCACUGCCCAGCACCUACACUCAGCCCCGAGCCCCCAGCAGACACCCAGCAUCCCCCUUGCCUGUGUCUCCUGCCCAGCCCUGAGCUCUGCCCAGCGCCACAGCACAGCCAAACAACCCCAGGGCUGCGGCAGCCGGCACCCUGCUCUGCCCUUCCCACAGCAGCAGGAUGCGGUGAGCUCCAUCUCUUCUCUUUGAGUGAGAACAAUCCACGGAACAGCAACAGCACCGACAACUCAGCCUGGCUCUGCCGGACGGCGCUGGGGCAGCCCAGGGGCAGACAGAGUCCUGCAGCAGCCCCGUCCCCGCUCCGAGCAGCGGUGCCCCAACGCGCUGCCUGCUGAUGGGGCUCCCGCACGAACGCCCAACCUCCCACAAUAGCCUAUAAAUACCGGCCUUUUCAGCGCAAUAGCUUCGUGAACAAGCUGUAAUGCAAUAUUUCACUGAGGCUCUCAGACAAAAGGACGGCACCCCACCGGCUCUCGCUUUCUGCUGCUGCAGUUUUCAGAAGUAUAAUUGGAUUAUAACCAAGCGCGAGGCUCUAGCCCCAGUUUCUCCCAGGCCAGCGAAGUCGCUGUCUGAUCUCUAACAACGGGAGUCGGAAGGAAGGAGCAGAAAGCUCGCUGGGCAGAGGGGAGGGGAGGCUGAGGGCUCCGGCACUGCCGAAAGCCCUUCAGCAGACACCGAGAUUUGCGGUCCCAGCAAAUAAUAAUUAGGCGUACUGGGAAGAGCCACCAACGAGAGAGAGGCGACCCACUUAAGGCCGAUGCCUUCACCGUCAGGGCGUGGGAGGGCUGGCGGGCAGGGCUCACAGGGAAAGGGGAGCUCCAAGGUGAGGCAGCCGCACCGCACACCUCCCCCGCGCGGUGGCUGC
ensembl:lncRNA